rnacentral:tmRNA from 1 species
GGGCUCGACGGGUUUCGAUUCCGUGGGUUGCUUCGAUGAGAAGCGUGCCGAGGGUUGGACGGCCACCUCGCCAAUCAGACCGUCCACCAAGAGAUGCCAACGCUUCUCGCACCGACUACGCCCUCGCCGCUUGAUGCGCGCGAGACUCAUGGCGAGUCCCUCGCACACCGCAACGGGAACGGUUUCGCCCGCGGUGUCGGGGUCAGCAGCAGACGACCAUGACGACCCGGUUGGGCACACCCCGGACCGUCAUCACCAUUGUGUCUAGACCUGCCGGCCGCGCUGUUCACCGCAGACGCCGAGGUCGAAAAGCAGCCCACGGUGAACUACGCACGUAGAAGGCUUCGUUCAGUCACGGAAGACGGGGGUUCAACUCCCCCCGGGUCCACCA